UCUUCACAGUAGUGCAGUUGGUAGCACUGUUGCCUUGCAGCCAGAAGGUCCUGGGUUUGACUCCCGGCUGAGGGU